rfam:Lactobacillus pasteurii DSM 23907 = CRBIP 24.76, type strain:CRBIP 24.76, WGS project CAKD01000000 data, contig: 23
GAGAACAAGAAGAAGCACCCGCUUCUCGCCUAAGUUUUGAAACCUCUGGGCUGAUCGAUAAUUUCUGUUGAUUAAGAGCGGGUAGCAAAUCGGUUAUCCGCUCUUUUCUUGUCCU